AUUGAACGCUGGCGGCAUGCCUAACACAUGCAAGUCGAACGGUAACAGGCUAAAGCAAUCCCUUCGGGGUGCGCUGUGCGCUGACGAGUGGCGGACGGGUGAGUAAUGCGUAGGAAUCUUCCUUCAAGUGGGGGAUAGCCCGGAGAAAUCCGGAUUAAUACCGCAUGUUCUUUACGGAGAAAAGCGGGCCUUUGAUUCAAGCUCGCGCUUGGGGAUGAGCCUACGUCGGAUUAGCUAGUUGGUGGGGUAAAGGCCUACCAAGGCGACGAUCCGUAGCUGGUUUGAGAGGAUGACCAGCCACACUGGGACUGAGACACGGCCCCGACUCCUACGGGAGGCAGCAGUGGGGAAUAUUGGACAAUGGGCGCAAGCCUGAUCCAGCAAUGCCGCGUGUGUGAAGAAGGCCUGCGGGUUGUAAAGCACUUUUAUCGGGAAAGAAAAGCUUAGGGCUAAUAUCUUUAAGCCUUGACGGUACCCGUUGAAUAAGCACCGGCUAACUCCGUG
rnacentral:rRNA from 1 species